AACGAACGCUGGCGGCAGGCCUAACACAUGCAAGUCGAGCGAAGCCUUCGGGCUUAGUGGCGGACGGGUGAGUAACACGUGGGAACGUACCUUUUGGUUCGGAAUAACGCAGAGAAAUUUGCGCUAAUACCGAAUGAGCCCUUCGGGGGAAAGAUUUAUCGCCGAAAGAUCGGCCCGCGUUGGAUUAGGUAGUUGGUGUGGUAAAGGCGCACCAAGCCUACGAUCCAUAGCUGGUCUGAGAGGAUGAUCAGCCACACUGGGACUGAGACACGGCCCAGACUCCUACGGGAGGCAGCAGUGGGGAAUCUUGCGCAAUGGGCGAAAGCCUGACGCAGCCAUGCCGCGUGAAUGAUGAAGGUCUUAGGAUUGUAAAAUUCUUUUACCAGGGACGAUAAUGACGGUACCUGGAGAAAAAGCCCCGGCUAACUUCGUGCCAGCCGCCGCAGUAAGAC
rnacentral:rRNA from 1 species